AUGCACGCUGGCGGCGUGCCUAAUCCCUGCCAGUCGAGCGAACGGACGAGAAGCUUGCUUCUCUGAUGUUAGCGGCGGACGGGUGAGUAACACGUGGAUAACCUACCUAUAAGACUGGGAUAACUUCGGGAAACCGGAGCUAAUACCGGAUAAUAUUUUGAACCGCAUGGUUCAAAAGUGAAAGACGGUCUUGCUGUCACUUAUAGAUGGAUCCGCGCUGCAUUAGCUAGUUGGUAAGGUAACGGCUUACCAAGGCAACGAUGCAUAGCCGACCUGAGAGGGUGAUCGGCCACACUGGAACUGAGACACGGUCCAGACUCCUACGGGAGGCAGCAGUAGGGAAUCUUCCGCAAUGGGCGAAAGCCUGACGGAGCAACGCCGCGUGAGUGAUGAAGGUCUUCGGAUCGUAAAACUCUGUUAUUAGGGAAGAACAUAUGUGUAAGUAACUGUGCACAUCUUGACGGUACCUAAUCAGAAAGCCACGGCUAACUACGUG
rnacentral:rRNA from 1 species